rnacentral:rRNA from 1 species
AUUGAACGCUGGCGGAAUGCUUUACACAUGCAAGUCGAGCGGCAGCACUGACUUCGGUCUGGUGGCGAGUGGCGAACGGGUGAGUAACAUAUCGGAACGUAUCCAAUAAUGGGGGAUAACUAAUCGAAAGGUUGGCUAAUACCGCAUACGCCCUACGGGGGAAAGCAGGGGAUCUUCGGACCUUGCGUUAAUGGAGCGGCUGAUAUCUGAUUAGCUAGUUGGUGAGGUAAAGGCUCACCAAGGCGACGAUCAGUAGCUGGUCUGAGAGGACGACCAGCCACCCUGGAACUGAGACACGGUCCAGACUCCUACGGGAGGCAGCAGUGGGGAAUUUUGGACAAUGGGCGCAAGCCUGAUCCAGCCAUUCCGCGUGAGUGAAGAAGGCCUUCGGGUUGUAAAGCUCUUUCGCAAGGGAAGAAAACUUACUUUCUAAUAAAGAGUGAGGUUGACGGUACCUUGAUAAGAAGCACCGGCUAACUACGUGCCAGCCGCCGCCGUAA